AUUGAACGCUGGCGGCAGGCUUAACACAUGCAAGUCGAGCGGGCGAGGUUGCUUCGGUAACUGAGCUAGCGGCGGACGGGUGAGUAAAGCUUAGGAAUCUGCCUAUUAGUGGGGGACAACAUUUCGAAAGGGAUGCUAAUACCGCAUACGUCCUACGGGAGAAAGCAGGGGAUCACUUGUGACCUUGCGCUAAUAGAUGAGCCUAAGUCGGAUUAGCUAGUUGGUGGGGUAAAGGCCUACCAAGGCGACGAUCUGUAGCGGGUCUGAGAGGAUGAUCCGCCACACUGGGACUGAGACACGGCCCAGACUCCUACGGGAGGCAGCAGUGGGGAAUAUUGGACAAUGGGGGGAACCCUGAUCCAGCCAUGCCGCGUGUGUGAAGAAGGCCUUUUGGUUGUAAAGCACUUUAAGUGGGGAGGAGGCUCUCUUGGUUAAUACCUAAGAAGAGUGGACGUUACCCACAGAAUAAGCACCGGCUAACUCUGUGCCAGCAGCCGCGGUAA
rnacentral:rRNA from 1 species